GAAUCCAGAAUUCGAAAGGGGAGAGGAUUCAACUGCACACUGGUACCCAGACGGCCUUCCGUGAGAUGGUGCCGGCCGCCCGCUGCGAUUAAUUUCGUUUGCGGUGUCGUAACCGGCACGGACUCUGCGGUUCGGCGCGAAUCUCGGACACAGGGCAGCGCACUUCCCCCCCAGUAGAAACGUUGCGACCCGUUGGGUGCCGGUCAUAGGCCUGGGUAGGAGCCCGUUCGACCCACGGCGGUGUCAAGCCACCGUGAGCUCGAGCGGACGCCCGGAUGUACCCGGCCGGCUGCCCGACGGUAGGACCAGAGGAGUCGACCCGCUAAAAAGGAAAGCAUUAUGAUUGUGAAGCGUCCGGCCCUGCUGCGACGUGCGCGAGAUUGGUUUGCAUGUCGUACGCAGGUGUCCUCGGACUGGGUCGAUACUCCCGUCCGCGGCGAUCAUUUUCGGAUGGUCUCCCG
rnacentral:rRNA from 1 species